GACGAACGCUGGCGGCGUGCUUAACACAUGCAAGUCGAACGGAAAGGCCUGCUUUCCCUUGUGGAUUGCGGGUACUCGAGUGGCGAACGGGUGAGUAACACGUGAGUGAUCUGCCCCCAACUUGGGUAUAAGCCUGGGAAACUGGGUCUAAUUCCCGAUAGGACUGCAGGGUGGUGCCUGUGGUGGAAAACGAUUUUCUAGUGGUUGGGGAUGAGCUCGCGGCCUAUCAGCUUGUUGGUGGGGUAAUGGCCUACCAAGGCGGCGACGGGUAGCCGGCCUGAGAGGGUGGACGGCCACAUUGGGACUGAGAUACGGCCCAGACUCCGACGGGAGGCAGCAGUGGGGAAUAUUGCACAAGGGGCGGAAGCCUGAUGCAGCGACGCCGCGUGGGGGAUGACGGCCUUCGGGUUGUAAACUCCUUUCGACCGCGAGGAAGCCACCUGGUUGGAAGGGUGGUGACGGUAGUGGUAGAAGAAGCACCGGCUAACUACGUG
rnacentral:rRNA from 1 species